GACAGAAGGUGCAAGCGUUACUCGGAAUUACUGGGCGUAAAGCGUCUGUAGGUGUCUGGUCACGUCUGGUGUGAAAUCACAGGGCUCAACCCUGUAUCCACAUUGGAAACGAAUCAGAUCGAGUCACUCAGAGGCAUCUGGAAUGUCGUGUGUAGGGGUAAAAUCCGUAGAUACACGAUGGAACGCCAAAAGCGAAAGCAGGAUGCUGGGGGUGUACUGACACUCAGAGACGAAAGCGUGGGGAGCAAAGGGG
rnacentral:rRNA from 1 species